AUUUCGUGAUGAGGGCAUCUUUGUAAUAAUUCUUUAAGCCUUUCCUAUGCCUCAUACAAGGACUUGUCAUCCAACUGUUUGAAUGUAGUAAUUUCGUUCCUCAACAU
rfam:Gossypium hirsutum cultivar TM-1 chromosome 23, whole genome shotgun sequence